rnacentral:rRNA from 4 species
ACAAAUGCCCUGCUUCCAGGAAAAGCCUCUAAGCAUCAGGUAACAUCAAAUCGUACCCCAAACCGACACAGGUGGUCAGGUAGAGAAUACCAAGGCGCUUGAGAGAACUCGGGUGAAGGAACUAGGCAAAAUGGUGCCGUAACUUCGGGAGAAGGCACGCUGAUAUGUAGGUGAAGCGACUUGCUCGUGGAGCUGAAAUCAGUCGAAGAUACCAGCUGGCUGCAACUGUUUAUUAAAAACACAGCACUGUGCAAACACGAAAGUGGACGUAUACGGUGUGACGCCUGCCCGGUGCCGGAAGGUUAAUUGAUGGGGUUAGCGGCAACGCGAAGCUCUUGAUCGAAGCCCCGGUAAACGGCGGCCGUAACUAUAACGGUCCUAAGGUAGCGAAAUUCCUUGUCGGGUAAGUUCCGACCUGCACGAAUGGCGUAAUGAUGGCCAGGCUGUCUCCACCCGAGACUCAGUGAAAUUGAACUCGCUGUGAAGAUGCAGUGUACCCGCGGCAAGACGGAAAGACCCCGUGAACCUUUACUAUAGCUUGACACUGAACAUUGAGCCUUGAUGUGUAGGAUAGGUGGGAGGCUUUGAAGUGUGGACGCCAGUCUGCAUGGAGCCGACCUUGAAAUACCACCCUUUAAUGUUUGAUGUUCUAACGUUGGCCCGUAAUCCGGGUUGCGGACAGUGUCUGGUGGGUAGUUUGACUGGGGCGGUCUCCUCCUAAAGAGUAACGGAGGAGCACGAAGGUUGGCUAAUCCUGGUCGGACAUCAGGAGGUUAGUGCAAUGGCAUAAGCCAGCUUGACUGCGAGCGUGACGGCGCGAGCAGGUGCGAAAGCAGGUCAUAGUGAUCCGGUGGUUCUGAAUGGAAGGGCCAUCGCUCAACGGAUAAAAGGUACUCCGGGGAUAACAGGCUGAUACCGCCCAAGAGUUCAUAUCGACGGCGGUGUUUGGCACCUCGAUGUCGGCUCAUCACAUCCUGGGGCUGAAGUAGGUCCCAAGGGUAUGGCUGUUCGCCAUUUAAAGUGGUACGCGAGCUGGGUUUAGAACGUCGUGAGACAGUUCGGUCCCUAUCUGCCGUGGGCGCUGGAGAACUGAGGGGGGCUGCUCCUAGUACGAGAGGACCGGAGUGGACGCAUCACUGGUGUUCGGGUUGUCAUGCCAAUGGCACUGCCCGGUAGCUAAAUGCGGAAGAGAUAAGUGCUGAAAGCAUCUAAGCACGAAACUUGCCCCGAGAUGAGUUCUCCCUGACUCCUUGAGAGUCCUGAAGGAACGUUGAAGACGACGACGUUGAUAGGCCGGGUGUGUAAGCGCAGCGAUGCGUUGAGCUAACCGGUACUAAUGAACCGUGAGGCUUAACCUU